rnacentral:rRNA from 1 species
CACGACUACAUUAGAUACCCCGGUAGUCCUAGCCGUAAACGAUACUCGCUAGGUGUCGGCCACGGUGCGACCGUUGUCGGUGCCGUAGGGAAGCCGUGAAGCGAGCCACCUGGGAAGUACGGCCGCAAGGCUGAAACUUAAAGGAAUUGGCGGGGAGCACCACAACGGGUGGAGCCUGCGGUUUAAUUGGACUCAACGCCGGGAAGCUCACCAGAUAAGACAGCGGAAUGAUUGCCGGGCUGAAGACCCUGCAUGACCAGCUG